GGAAAGGAGGGAGCUGCCUAACCCUCCCCCACUGCCACAGUUUGAGCCACCCUUAUAACAGAAAGAUCCGGAGCCACCUCGGUAUAACCCUGCUCCUCUACCAUACCAUCUAGCACUGCCACAAUAUAAUCUAGUGUCUUUACUGCAUCAUUCGGCACUGCCACAAUACAAUCCCUCGUAUCCACCGUAUCAUCUAGCACCACCACAAGGCCACCCAGUUCCUCUCUAGCAUAAUCCAGUCCCUCUUUCAUAGGAUCUAGUUCCCCUAUGAUAGACCCACGCUAUAUUGAAAGGUACAAAAGACUAAACUCAUAUACCUUUAUAGGAGCAUUCUCUUUUGAAGAUGCCGAGUAUUUGUUAGCUAAGACAGAGAAGGCAUUCGCAACUCUUGGGGUGGUUC
rnacentral:lncRNA from 1 species